rfam:Dipodomys ordii contig_46502, whole genome shotgun sequence.
GGGAAGGUAGCUCAGUGGUAGAGCACUUGCCUUGCAUGCAUGAGGCCCUGGGUUCCUCAGCACCA